GUCCAGACUCCUACGGGAGGCAGCAGUGAGGAAUAUUGGUCAAUGGGCGAGAGCCUGAACCAGCCAAGUCGCGUGAAGGAUGACGGCCCUGCGGGUUGUAAACUUCUUUUGUCAGGGAGCAAUUGAGUCCACGUGUGGGCUUAGCGAGAGUACCUGAAGAAAAAGCAUCGGCUAACUCCGUGCCAGCAGCCGCGGUAAUACGGAGGAUGCGAGCGUUAUCCGGAUUUAUUGGGUUUAAAGGGUGCGUAGGCGGAAUAUCAAGUCAGCGGUAAAAAUUCGGGGCUCAACCCCGUCGUGCCGUUGAAACUGGGGAUCUAGAGUGUGCGAGAGGUAUGCGGAAUGCGUGGUGUAGCGGUGAAAUGCAUAGAUAUCACGCAGAACCCCGAUUGCGAAGGCAGCAUACCGGUGCACAACUGACGCUCAGGCACGAAAGCGUGGGUAUCGAACAGGAUUAGAUACCCCUGUA
rnacentral:rRNA from 1 species